GUAGGAAUAUUGAGAAGGGCUGUCCCUAGUACGAGAGGACCGGGACGGACGAACCUCUGGUGUGCCAGUUGUUCUGCCAAGGGCAUGGCUGGUUGGCUACGUUCGGAAAGGAUAACCGCUGAAAGCAUCUAAGCGGGAAGCCUGCUUCGAGAUGAGUAUUCCCACCAACUUGAUUGGUUAAGGCUCCCAGUAGACGACUGGGUUGAUAGGCCAGAUGUGGAAGCCCGGUAACGGGUGGAGCUGACUGGUACUAAUAGGCCGAGGGCUUGUCCUCAGUUG
rnacentral:rRNA from 1 species